rnacentral:rRNA from 1 species
AACGAACGCUGGCGGCAGGCCUAACACAUGCAAGUCGAACGAGACCUUCGUGUCUAGUGGCGCACGGGUGCGUAACGCGUGGGAACCGGCCCUUAGGUUCGGAAUAACUCCCCGAAAGGGGUGCUAAUACCGGAUAAUGUCUGCGGACCAAAGAUUUAUCGCCUUUGGAUGGGCCCGCGUUGGAUGCGCUAGUUGGUAGGGUAAAAGCCUACCAAGGCGACGAUCCAUAGCUGGUAUGAGAGGAUGAUCAGCCACACUGGGACUGAGACACGGCCGAGACUCCUACGGGAGGCAGCAGUGGGGAAUAUUGGACAAUCGGCGAAAGCCUGAUCCAGCACUGCCGGGUGAGUGAUGAAGGCCUUAGGGUUGUAAAGCUGUUUUACCCGGGAUGAUAAUGACGGUACCGGGAGAAUAAGCUCCGGCUAACUCCGUG